UAGAAGAGACAUCGGUACAUUUUUCCAGCAAUGAACCUGCUGGAGAGACAGAAGAUGCCAGUGUAAGCUUAGACCUGGCUGGAGUUGACACUGGUGCAGACCAAGUUGUUAAGCCAGCACCCCACUCUGACCAUGACUAUGCUGAACUGUCGGUCACUGCAAGAGCAGCUAGAAGCAGCACGGAAGGAGAUUGCCCGCCUUACGCAGGAGAAUACCAUCCUCAAGGCAUCCUGUUUCAGCUUGAAGCAAAAAUGAUUCAAAGUUCUUGACAUUCUACACUGGAUUUCGGGUGAAUAAUUAUCCAACAUGAAGUCUUUUUCUACAGUGUUGUUACUAUAGUACUUUCUACAGUAUUAGCAAUACUUUGGACACAAACUCAUACAGUAAUUUAUUUUCCUUGUGCAUUAACAUUGUGCUGAUCUCUGUAUUGUACAGUAAAAAAUAAAAGGCGUCGAUUUUC